CGGGGUGUGGCUCAGUUGGUAGAGUGCUCGCUUUGGGAGCGAGAGGUCGAGAGUUCGAGUCUCUCCACCCCGACCA
rnacentral:tRNA from 1 species